rnacentral:rRNA from 1 species
AUGUAUUUGGAUCUGAAGAAUACUUUCUGGUGGAGAGUGAAGGCAGAGCAUCGGAAGCCAGCAGGAUUGCUACAACCGUUGCCAAUACCCGAAUGGAAGUGGGAUAAAAUAGGCAUGGAUUUUAUCACAGGAUUACCCAGGACUCGUUCAGGCUAUGACUCGAUAUGGGUUGUAGUCGACCGUUUGACGAAAGUGGCUCAUUUCAUUCCAGUGAAGACCACUUACACCAGUGCUAAGUUGGCAAAGAUAUACAUGACCAGGAUCGUAUGUUUGCAUGGAGUUCCGAGGACCAUUGUAUCAGACAGAGGAACCCAAUUUACCUCGAAGUUUUGGAAGCAGUUACAUGAAACAUUGGGAACCAGGCUGGAAUUUAGUACAGCUUUUCACCCGCAGACAGAUGGACAGACCGAGAGAGUCAACCAGAUUUUGGAGGACAUGUUGAGAGCUUGUGCACUAGAUUAUGGAUCUAGUUGGGACGAUAAUUUGCCAUAUGCAGAGUUUUCGUAUAACAACAGUUAUCAAACCAGUUUGAAGAUGGCCCCUUUCGAAGCCUUGUACGGAAGGAGGUGUAGAACACCGUUGUUAUGGGACGAAGUUGGAGACCGUCAGUUGUUUGGACCAGAUUUGAUUAAGGAGUCUGAACAUAAAGUAAGGUUGAUUCGCGACAGGCUCAAGGUAGCCCAGUCCGGGCAGAAGAGUUAUGCUGAUUCUAAACGAAAGGAGACAGUUCACGAAGUUGGAGACCGAGUUUAUCUUCGAGUAUCACCACUUCGAGGAGUGAAGCGCUUUGGAGUUAAGGGAAAGUUAGCGCCCCGUUUUAUCGGACCCUACAGAGUUGUGGAACGUAUGGGAGAGGUUGCCUACAAACUGGAAUUGCCCGAAGGAUUGUCUGGAGUUCAUGAUGUAUUUCACGUUUCCCAG